CCGGGCAACAGGGCAGAACGCAUCUGUCAUGUAGGCGUCACAUAUUUAACCACUUCCUCUUAGAUAGGGUGAAAAAUUGUGCCAGAAAACAUAGCUCUCAAACUAAGGGCCCACAUACUCUGAACAGACUCUAUACGCAUGCAGUAAGUGCCAAAAUAUCCACAGCCUCCUCAAGACAUUCCACAUCCACGUUCUGGUGACUCAUUCAGACUGCAUACAGCGAUGACAAAGCAUCUUAUUCUAUUGCUUGCCAUCUUGGACAUCGCCAUUAAAACAUUAAACACUGAAGAGGAGCUGAAGGAGACUGGGUUUGGAUAUCCACCUCCUCGACACGGACUCGCCCUAAUUAAGUGCUAUGGGGGGAAUUCAGGAGCACUUUGACAGAAUUCUAAAGCAGCA
ensembl:lncRNA